rnacentral:rRNA from 1 species
ACGGAAGGCAGCAGUGGGGAAUAUUGCACAAUGGGCGAAAGCCUGAUGCAGCGACGCCGCGUGAGUGAAGAAGUAUUUCGGUAUGUAAAGCUCUAUCAGCAGGGAAGAAAAAUGACGGUACCUGACUAAGAAGCACCGGCUAAAUACGUGCCAGCAGCCGCGGUAAUACGUAUGGUGCAAGCGUUAUCCGGAUUUACUGGGUGUAAAGGGAGCGCAGGCGGUACGGCAAGUCUGAUGUGAAAGCCCGGGGCUAAACCCCGGUACUGCAUUGGAAACUGUCGAACUAGAGUGUCGGAGGGGUAAGCGGAAUUCCUAGUGUAGCGGUGAAAUGCGUAGAUAUUAGGAGGAACACCAGUGGCGAAGGCGGCUUACUGGACGAUAACUGACGCUGAGGCUCGAAAGCGUGGGGAGCAAACAGGAUUAGAUACCCUGGUA